rnacentral:rRNA from 1 species
AUUGAACGCUGGCGGCAUGCUUUACACAUGCAAGUCGAACGGCAGCACGAAAGAGCUUGCUCUUUUGGUGGCGAGUGGCGAACGGGUGAGUAAUGCAUCGGAACGUACCGAGUAAUGGGGGAUAACUGUCCGAAAGGAUAGCUAAUACCGCAUACGCUUUGAGAAGGAAAGUGGGGGCUCUUCGGACCUCACGUUAUUCGAGCGGCCGAUGUCUGAUUAGCUAGUUGGUGGGGUAAAGGCCUACCAAGGCGACGAUCAGUAGCGGGUCUGAGAGGAUGAUCCGCCACACUGGGACUGAGACACGGCCCAGACUCCUACGGGAGGCAGCAGUGGGGAAUUUUGGACAAUGGGCGCAAGCCUGAUCCAGCCAUGCCGCGUGUCUGAAGAAGGCCUUCGGGUUGUAAAGGACUUUUGUUAGGGAAGAAAAGGAUAGUGUUAAUACCAUGAUCUGCUGACGGUACCUAAAGAAUAAGCACCGGCUAACUACGUG